rnacentral:rRNA from 1 species
AACGAACGCUGGCGGCAUGCCUUACACAUGCAAGUCGAACGGCAGCACGGGAGCAAUCCUGGUGGCGAGUGGCGAACGGGUGAGUAAAGUAUCGGAACGUGCCCAGUCGUGGGGGAUAACGUAGCGAAAGUUACGCUAAUACCGCAUACGAUCUAUGGAUGAAAGCGGGGGAUCGCAAGACCUCGCGCGAUUGGAGCGGGCGAUAUCAGAUUAGGUAGUUGGUGGGGUAAAGGCUCACCAAGCCGACGAUCUGUAGCUGGUCUGAGAGGACGACCGGCCAGACUGGGACUGAGACACGGCCCAGGCUCCUACGGGAGGCAGAAGUGAGGAAUUUUGGACAAUGGGCGAAAGCCUGAUCCAGCCAUGCCGCGUGCAGGAUGAAGGCCUUCGGGUUGUAAACUGCUUUUGUACGGAACGAAAAGGUUUGGCCUAAUAAGCUGAGCUCAUGACGGUACCGUAAGAAUAAGCACCGGCUAACUACGUGCCAACAGCCGCCGCGG